ACCGAGGUCCCAAUGCGUGUGUGUGUGUGUGUGUGUAUAGAAUAUAUAUAUAUAUAUAUAUAUAUAUAUAUAUAUACAUACACACACACACACACACAUACAUAUACACACACACACGCAGUGGGACCUCGGU